rnacentral:lncRNA from 1 species
UACUAUACCAAGAAUCUGAGAAUGGGAAUCCACUGAAAUGGCCUUAUAGAUAUAAUAUAGCAGUUGGUUUGGCCUCUGUUCUGACUUAUUUGCAUCAAGAAUGUGAGCAGCAAGUGAUUCACAGAGAUAUUAAAGCCAGCAAUAUUAUGCUUGAUGUCAGCUGUAUAAUAUAGCAGUUGGUUUGGCCUCUGUGCUGACUUAUUUGCAUCAAGAAUGUGAGCAGCAAGUGAUUCACAGAGAUAUUAAAGCAAGCAAUAUUAUGCUUGAUGUCAGCUACAACGCGAGGCUUGGCGAUUUUGGGUUGGCAAGACUUAUGGAUCAUGACAAGAGUCCAGUCUCGACUCUUACAGCUGGAACAAUGGGAUACCUUGCUCCUGAGUACCUUCAAUAUGGAAAGGCAACCGAGAGAACUGAUGUUUUCAGCUAUGGCGUGGUUAUACUAGAAGUGGCUUGUGGGAGGAGGCCAAUAGAGGGAGAAGGGAGUGGUCAUGAAAUGGUUAAUUUGGUUGAUUGGGUUUGGAGGCUUUACUCUGAAGGUAGGAUAAUUGAAGCAGCAGA